rnacentral:rRNA from 1 species
UACGUAGGGUGCGAGCGUUGUCCGGAAUUACUGGGCGUAAAGAGCUCGUAGGUGGUUUGUCGCGUUGUUCGUGAAAUGCCACAGCUUAACUGUGGGCGUGCGGGCGAUACGGGCAGACUGGAGUACUGCAGGGGAGACUGGAAUUCCUGGUGUAGCGGUGGAAUGCGCAGAUAUCUGGAGGAAUACCUGUGGCGAAGGCGGCAUCCUGGACCGACAUUGACGCUGAGGAGCGAAAGCCAGGGGAGCAAACGGG